CGUUCCGUAAACUCUAGUGUAUUGUCAAUAAUAAUAACUGUUGUCGUCAUAUGUUUUCUGUAUGAUAGGUACCACGCUUACCAUUAAUUAAAAUAUCAAUUGAUGAAAGGAUUUUUCCACGUAAGGGUCCUCACACAGACUUUGGUGGUGGUCGUCGUCCCAUGACCGUUGACGGCAUAGAAGUUGGAUCAAAAGUAGAAUUUACUAAUGCUGAAUAUAUUAUCAACGGUGUGUUACAUCCAAAUAAAUGAAAAAGAUCUCAUUGAGGACAAAGAAGAUAAAAUAAAAGAUCAAGAAAAGUUAAAGGUGAAAAAGAAGAU